ensembl:lncRNA
CAGGCAGAGGUCAGUAGUCCAUAGCAGAGUCUGAAAGGUAGACAACGGCAGGCAGGCUCAGGGUCAGGCAGAGGUCAGUAGUCCAUAGCAGAGUCUGAAAGGUAGAGGACGGCAGGCUCAGGGUCAGGGCCAGGCAGAGGUCAGUAGUCCAUAGCAGAGUCUGAAAGGUAGACAACGGCAGGCAGGCUCAGGGUCAGGCAGAGGUCAGUAGUCCAUAGCAGAGUCUGAAAGGUAGAGGACGGCAGGCUCAGGGUCAGGGCCAGGCAGAGGUCAGUAGUCCAUAGCAGAGUCUGAAAGGUAGACAACGGCAGGCAGGCUCAGGGUCAGGCAGAGGUCAGUAGUCCAUAGCAGAGUCUGAAAGGUAGACAACGGCAGGCUCAGGGUCAGGCAG